AACCUCCCACAAUGCACUUUUGAUCAUUUAAACACCUUCGGACUUUCCGAAGUGUACCAACCUCGGACUUCGAUCAAUGGACUAAAGUUCGAUAUUUUUUUUCCGAAUUUUCAGUAUAUUACAUUCUCCACCCCUUAAAAUAAUUUCGUCCGCGAAAUUACACAUACCUUAACUUGUCGACUCAAAUAAAUGCGGAUACUCUCUCUGCAUCACCUCUUCGAGCUCCCAA
rnacentral:lncRNA from 1 species